AGGACCAAACUUUAUAAAACAUCACAAAGAAGAAGGACCUCACAGGGUUUGUCACUGUGCAAACACAGAUCUCAGACUUUACAGCCCUAGCUGUCUACCACAAACAAAAAAUAUAAUACUGAACUGAAUGAAGCCCUGAUGCAGAACUGAAAGCAAAGGAAGCAGGAAGGAAAUUAAGAUCCCAAAGGGGGAACAGAGAAAGCAACGGUUGCAUCACCAUAAGGAGCUGCACAUAGUAGGAACUACAGUAUUUGUCUCAUUUUCUUGACAUCUACUAAGACAACCCUUCAUAUGCACCACAGCCCUGCCCCAGCAAGGGUUUGAGAGGGUAUGAAGAUCUGUCACACCACUGCGCUUCUGACCAGACACAGAAACUGAUAAUAACUGAGGUCAUGCAUCAGCCAAAUCCAGUAGUAUUUUACCUGGCUACGCAAACUACUGUUGCCAAAAAUAAAAACAUAAAAGAGGAGCAGAGGGCAGUGCUUUAAGUUCAUUGUUUCCUGCCGAUGCAGCUAGGGUGCUUUUUUUUGGUUUGUCUUUAGAAAUGAAAUAGACUGAUAGAUUUUCAGUAUGCAGGGAAUCAAACACACUAGUCCAAAAAGUCGCAGUGAGUUGGAUAAGUAAACAAAAUAUAUCAAGGGAACCUAACUCCUUGGCAGUGGUACCAGUGGAUUCCAGUGGAGCUUGUGUCUGGAAAAUUGGACUCCAGGGCCCAAAGGGAUUAAUUUUUCAUAUUUACUUUCCUGUUUCAGAUUUGGAAGUUUGUGCUGUUAAAUCUCUCACUCAUUUUCUUUCUUCCUCUAAGAAUUGGAUAGUAGGUCAUGAAACUAAAACUGAAAAUAUGUACUAAUUACACAGUAGGUUGGAAGACUUCCUUUAAACUUGCCUCUAUAAACAGGACAAUAAAAUGGAGCUAUUGAUGUUAUUCACUAUCAGAAAGAGAAUUAUUUUGGUUAUUGUUCCACAUAUACUCUUUUUCUAAAGUUGUAUUUUAAAUG